rnacentral:rRNA from 1 species
UACGUAGGUGGCAAGCGUUGUCCGGAUUUACUGGGCGUAAAGCGCGCGCAGGCGGACUGAUCAGUCUGGGGUGAAAUCUCCCGGCUCAACUGGGAGCGGUCCCUGGAUACUGUCAGUCUUGAGAGACCUAGAGGAGAGCGGAAUUCCCGGUGUAGUGGUGGAAUGCGUAGAUAUCGGGAAGAAACACCAGUGGCGAAGCGGCUCUCUGGGGGUUUUCUGACGCUGAGGCGCGAAAGCGUGGGGGAGCGAACCGG